AGUUGAGCCACUACUCUGUGAAACAUAAGUUAUUACCGUUUUUAAUAUCCCGUUGGUAGGAUAGUCUCGAAUGGAGCUCAUCGUUUAUUCUCCGGUGAUUGGACGUUGGCCAAUAGAACAGACCGUACAGGCGGAUUACCCACUCACCAACAAAUUCUCACAAGGUACCCCGAUAUCCGCCCACUGUACCUCCAUCUUUUCUUCACGUGAAUAACAAGAAUUUGAGCCUAGUCUUGGAGAAACAGGUGAGAGUUCCCUCAGUGCAGCUGUUUGGGAUGGAUUAAGGGGCAGAGGAGUGGUUGGUGCCCUUCACCAGCUGGAAGUGCAACAGUGAAAGCCCGGAGAGAAUAGAGAAUACCUACAGCCACAUUGGGAGGCACAUCAGGGGGAAACCCAUAGAAGCCUUAAGACACGAAUCAGUGAGCACCGCAGCAAUAUACGGACAGGUGAGACAAGAAAUAUGGUUUCUGUUCAUUUUGUACUGGACAUCCUAUUAGUUCUCUGAGAUAUAUUGGAAUAGAAAUGGUCAAGAUGUUAUGCAGGGGAGGGGACAUUGAGAGGGAACUUCUUCAAAGGGAUUCUUUCUGGAUCCACAGGCUCAGCAAACUGUCACCUCUUGGCCUUAACAAGGAAUUUGACUUCAAACCGUUUUUAUAGUUUCAAUAUGUCCAAAUGUUUAUUUUUAUUUUUAUCCUAAUUGAAUAUUGUAUGUGUAUGUAUAUUACUGUAAAUAUUGAUCACAUUCCUUGUGUAUGUAUCACGCCCUGCUCUGUUUCACCUGUCUUGUGCUUGUCUCCACCCCCCACCAGGUGUCUCCCAUUUGUCCCCAUUAUCCCCUGUGUAUUUAUACCUGUGUUUUCUGUUUGUCUGUUGCCAGUUCGUCUUGUCCCGUCAAGUAUUACCAGCGUGUUUUCCCAGUUUCGAGUCUUUCUAGUUAUUGUUUUCUAGUCUUCCCGGUUCUGACCAUUCUGCCUGCCUGCCGUUCUGUACCUCAUUGACCCUGCCCUGGACUACUGACCAAUCUGCCUGCCCUGACCCUGAGUCUGCUUACCAUUCUGUACCUCAUUGACUCUGCCCUGGACUACUGACCUCUGCCUGCCCUGACCCGGAGUCUGCUUACCAUUCUGUACCUCAUUGACUCUGCCCUGGACUACUGACCUCUGCCUGCCCUGACCCUGAGUCUGCUUACCAUUCUGUACCUCAUUGACUCUGCCCUGGACUACUGACCUCUGCCUGCCCUCGACCUGCCCCGCCCUGGCCUGUCCCCUUGUAUAAUAAAUAUUAUGAGAACUGUACUCUCCGCCUCCUCCUCUGCAUCUGGGUCAUAUCCUGAGUCGUGAUAGUGUGAUCAUAUAUUUUGAUACAUUGAAUGUGUUAUACAUUAUUUUUUAUUUUUUUACCUAAUGUUUCAGGAAGUGAUGUCACUGAGCACUGCCCCUAUAUAUAGGACCUUCUACACCCACUUGGGAUGUUGAUGCCUGAUGAGGACGAGGGUCGAAACGUAGUUAUAAAUAAAUAUCACCAGGGAGCAGCAGUGAGCAGCGUUUCCCUUUCUGUUUUCCAGGAGUUUGGCUACAACUCCAGCACCUGUGGAAAGUACCUGGAUGUGCGCAUGUUCUUCAGCUUUUGGACUUUAAAACAGUGAAAGAGUUUAAUGGCCGUGAUAGGAGAAAACAGAGGAUGGAUCAACAAUAUUGUUGUUACUAAACAAAAUGAACCUAAAUGACAGAGUGAAAAAAAGGAAGCCAAAUAUACAC